GAUCAUGGCUCAGGAUGAACGCUAGCUACAGGCUAACACAUGCAAGUCGAGGGGUAGCAGGGUAGCAAUACGCUGACGACCGGCGCACGGGUGAGUAACACGUAUCCAACUUCCCAUAACUCAGGGAUAGCCUUUCGAAAGAAAGAUUAAUACCUGAUAGUACUUUUUCAAGGCAUCUUGAGAAGUUAAAGAUUUAUUGGUUAUGGAUGGGGAUGCGUUCCAUUAGAUAGUUGGUGAGGUAACGGCUCACCAAGUCUUCGAUGGAUAGGGGUUCUGAGAGGAAGGUCCCCCACAUUGGUACUGAGACACGGACCAAACUCCUACGGGAGGCAGCAGUGAGGAAUAUUGGUCAAUGGGCGAGAGCCUGAACCAGCCAAGUAGCGUGAAGGAAUGAAGGUCCUAUGGAUUGUAAACUUCUUUUAUAGUAGAAUAAAGUGAUCCACGUGUGGAUUUUUGUAUGUAUACUAUGAAUAAGGAUCGGCUAACUCCGUGCCAGCCGCCGC
rnacentral:rRNA from 1 species